CUGUCUCAGACUAGCCAUGCACGUCUAAGUACAAACUAAAUGAUGGUGAAACUGCAAAUGGCUCAUUACAACGGUUAUGAUGUACCCGGGAGUUCCGAUGGAUAUUUCCAGUAACACUAGAACUAAUACAUGUCCCUGCGUUUAUUAGUUUCGCACAGUCCGUCGCUGAGUCAUGGUAAACAGUUGAUCGACUCGACGUCCCGGAACAGUUUCCGCCCCAUCAGCUUCGAUGGUUGGGUAUUGGCCUACCAUUGCAACAACGGGUAACGAGGAAUUAGGGUUUGAUUUCGGAGAGGGAGCCUGAGAAACGGCUACCACAUCUACGGAUGGCAGCAGGCGCGCAAAUUACCCAAUGCAGACACUGUGAGGUAGUGACGAGAAAUAAUAAAGCGGGACUUCUGUUUCGCUAUUAUAAUGAGGAAUAACCAAAGGUCAUUCCGAUUAGCAACUGAUGGGAAAGUCUGGUGCCAGCAGCCGCGGUAAUACCAGCGUCAGUAGCA
rnacentral:rRNA from 1 species